rnacentral:misc_RNA from 1 species
AAGUCGUAACAAGGUUUCCGUAGGUGAACCUGCGGAAGGAUCAUUAUCACGUAUCCACGGAUCAACCAUUGUGAACUGUUGCGACCGUUGAAAAUUUUGGAAAGAGUUGUUGUAAUAAACGUUUGUUUUUCUUUUAAUUAAGAAAAACAACAAACAAUAGUGAUUUGAAAUUGUUUGAGUUUAUUAUAACCUACAAUCAAAUUGUCUUUCUAAUUUUUAACGAGUAUUUUAUUUUUCAAAUCAUUAUUAACUAUUUAAACCCAAUUUAAUUCAAUUUUGAACUGAAUUAAUUUCUUACUUACAUUCAUUUGUAAGAAGAAAUAAAUUUUUACGAAACAUAAGAACAACUCUUAGCAACGGAUAUCUUGGUUCUC